CACACUAGCAUUUUAGAAUCUAUAAAGAAAUAAUUUGCAUUUCCAUGUUCCACAAGAUAAAAUUCGAGAAAUAAGAUCCCAAAAAUGAUAAAAUAUUUUCUUAAAAAAAAGAAUAGCAAAAGAACAUCAAACUAGCCUCCCAUGUUUUUAUCAGUGACUGAGGUUGAUAUACCUGCGGAUAUAUCUCGACCAACGAUCGAUAAACAAAAUUGAAGCCCAUUUUGCAGAACUAUCCAAUCUGCAAAAAAAAAAAGACUAUUCAACCACAAACUCGGAGUAAUUUUUUAUAUAAACAUGAUUUAUAUAUUACAGGUAAUUAUCUACAUUCAGACAAUGAUUUUAAACACCACAGUCGAAAAUACUCGCAGAUGGAUAAUCCAGAUACUAUUUCGGAUGCACAUACAAACCCUAAUGGAUCUCAAAUUACAAAUAUUCUAGUCCAAAAAAAACAAGCGGCAUUAAGAAAAUAUGAGUUGGAAUUCUCUUUUGUAUAUCAGCUGAAGAGGAUGGAAAAGUGAACAGAGCAACAUGGAAAUGGAAAAAACAUUAAAACUAAAAUAAAAGGCCAUACCCAAGUGACCAAGAGGGAAUUCUAAGUAAAAUUAUCAAGAUAAUAUAGAACAUCAACACGAAAGUCCGUAAUUUUCCGUUAGAUACCAAGAGAUAAGAAGAAAAAGACAAUAACUUCACUACUUAGAGAACGGAAAUUUAAAAAAAGAAAAAGAAAAAGAUUCUUUUCUUUUCAAGUGUUUUCUAGGCAACAAACAAACAAAAAGAAAAACAGAAGAAACUUACCUUCAAAAGCUGCGAUUGCAAGAAGGAAACAGAGGGGUCGGGGAGAGUGCGAAAGGGAAAAGGAAGAGUCUGUACGGUAUUUUCAGGGUUGGCUUUUUCUCUGGAAAAUAAAAACUAAAACUGCAGCUACGAGGAAACCCACGCAGCUAAGGAACUGGAUUUAGGCGUCGUUUUGCCAUGUUUACGAGGGGUAUUUUCGUCUAUUCGGUACACGGCUUUGUUCGAC
rnacentral:lncRNA from 1 species